GAGAAAAAGUUAAAAGUUCAUCCAAAUAAAAGGGAAGAUCUGAUUUUUACCAGUAAUAAGACUACAGCAUACUAAAUGACACAAGAUGUUCUUUCUCAAUUACCUCUUACAUUUAACAUAAAAGUAGGAAAAGGUUUAACAGUCUAUGCCUACAACAUAGAUCUCCAGGACUAAAAGUACACAAAAUGGCAAUCAGUAUAUCACAAGUGUAAUAACACAUGCAUCUAAUCUGCUUCAGUGGCGAGAACUGGGUGAAUCCUCUCAAACAUUAAUCAGGAACUAGGCAUACCUAAUGAGCGUCAAGCUGAUACAGUAGAUGUACAGAAGAGUUUAUACACAAGGAAGUGAAAAGUGAUGUAAAAGGCAACUAAUACUUCCAUCUACCAUAGUUAAACAAGAAUCUGCAAAUGGUGAUAAUUGCAAUAAUCUUGAUAUAUUAAUGUUUGGCUUUAUAAUUAUAUGCAAUUGUUUCAUAAAUAAAUUAUUUCUCAAAAUU